AGUGAACGCUGGCGGUAGGCCUAACACAUGCAAGUCGAACGGCAGCACAGUAAGAGCUUGCUCUUACGGGUGGCGAGUGGCGGACGGGUGAGGAAUACAUCGGAAUCUACUUUUUCGUGGGGGAUAACGUAGGGAAACUUACGCUAAUACCGCAUACGACCUACGGGUGAAAGCAGGGGAUCUUCGGACCUUGCGCGAUUGAAUGAGCCGAUGUCGGAUUAGCUAGUUGGCGGGGUAAAGGCCCACCAAGGCGACGAUCCGUAGCUGGCCUGAGAGGAUGAUCAGCCACACUGGAACUGAGACACGGUCCAGACUCCUUCGGGAGGCAGCAGUGGGGAAUAUUGGACAAUGGGCGCAAGCCUGAUCCAGCCAUACCGCGUGGGUGAAGAAGGCCUUCGGGUUGUAAAGCCCUUUUGUUGGGAAAGAAAAGCAGCAGGUUAAUACCCCGCUGUUCUGACGGUACCCAAAGAAUAAGCACCGGCUAACUUCGUG
rnacentral:rRNA from 1 species